UUUUCGGACCUAGCGGCGGACGGGUGAGUAAUGCGUAGGAAGCUACCCGAUAGAGGGGGAUACCAGUUGGAAACGACUGUUAAUACCGCAUAAUGUCUACGGACCAAAGUGUGGGACCUUCGGGCCACAUGCUAUCGGAUGCGCCUACGUGGGAUUAGCUAGUUGGUGAGGUAAUGGCUCACCAAGGCGACGAUCUCUAGCUGGUUUGAGAGGAUGAUCAGCCACACUGGAACUGAGACACGGUCCAGACUCCUACGGGAGGCAGCAGUGGGGAAUAUUGGACAAUGGGCGCAAGCCUGAUCCAGCCAUGCCGCGUGUGUGAAGAAGGCCUUCGGGUUGUAAAGCACUUUCAGCGAGGAGGAAGAGUUGUGUGUUAAUAGUACACAGCUUUGACGUUACUCGCAGAAGAAGCACCGGCUAACUCUGUGCCAGCAGCCGCGGUAAUACAGAGGGUGCAAGCGUUAAUCGGAAUUACUGGGCGCAAAGCGCACGUAGGCGGUUUUUUAAGUCAGAUGUGAAAGCCCCGGGCUCAACCUGGGAAUUGCAUUUGAAACUGGAAAACCAGAGUGUGUGAGAGGGGGGUAGAAUUCCAAGUGUAGCGGUGAAAUGCGUAGAGAUUUGGAGGAAUACCAGUGGCGAAGGCGGCCCCCUGGCACAACACUGACGCUCAGGUGCGAAAGCGUGGGGAGCAAGCAGGAUUAGAUACUCUGGUAGUCCACGCCGUAAACGAUGUCUACUAGCUGUUCGUGGUCUUGUACUGUGAGUAGCGCAGCUAACGCACUAAGUAGACCGCCUGGGGAGUACGGUCGCAAGAUUAAAACUCAAAUGAUUUGACGGGGGCCGCACAAGCGGUGGAGCAUGUGGUUUAAGUCGACGCACGCGAAGAACCUUACCUACUCUUGACAUCUA
rnacentral:rRNA from 1 species